CAUUCUCUAGGUACAAUGCAGUAGGAUUGAGGAAACCUGGGCAAGAGAAUAAGCCCUGGAAGAAGGGUCAACGGGGUGGGAGAGAGGGAAAGAAAGGGUAGGAAGAAGACCAGGGGAAAAGUAGCAAGGAAGGGGAUUGUAUAUACUUUGGCUGCUGGUUACAGGGUCCCUGGACUGGAACCCAGUGUAGAGGAAGGGUGUGGGUCUGGGCUGCCAGGCACUGGGAAGUGGUGCAGGACUCUGAAGGUGCCAUCUGGACAGCUGGUCCAGUAAGACUUGGAUGCCCCGGGAGAUGGGGGACUACAGAAUGACCUAGCUGGAAAGUCGAGUCAUGAAGAGAGAGCCUUGUGAAUUACAGGAAAAGGGAACCACUGCAGUGAUGACAUAACAAUUGAUCAUGACAAUGCCUGGGGACCCAACAGAGCUUUUGGGCACAAGAUGUUCUUCUGCUACUCACUCCAAGUAUAUUUUGGGAUGAAGUUUUUUGGCUGUUAGUGAUAAUCCUCCAAACCCUGCUACUACAAGUUAUUCCAUUCUACAAAGAAUAUUAGCAGUCUCAGAUAUUCCUCCUGUCUCUAAAUUCAAACACUACCUUUCAGUUGUUUAACCAGUGGCCUCCUUGCUGUACUACUGAACAUUAUAUUACAUCUUUUGUAUUAGGAAGUCUA